UCCUUGCCCCCCACAGCGCCAUCUUGUGGCUCCUGAGGGCUGGUGGCAGGAGCCGGACGGGACAGACGAGGCACCGCCAGCCCUGGAGCGGGGCCGGCUGAGGACGGCGGUGUCUUUCUUGUCAUGGAGAGAAAUAAAAACAUUUCGAAAUAUCCCCAUUCAUUCCAGAACAUCCCUGGAGAUGCUCUAGUAUCAGUGAAGAGCUCCCAUGUAGGGAGAGAAACUCUGUUCACUAAAGAUGAGAAAAUAUAAUGAGAUUUGGAAAGAACUCAGCAAUCUAGAGGGAUCAGAAUACUCAUUCUGAACACUAUGGAUGAACUUGAAGGAAUCAGAAAGUUAUUCAACUUGCUUUAUAGGAAGCCCAGAAUAAUGAUAACAAGAAGCAGCAGCACGAAAAGAUGCAGGGAGUUGUCAGAGACAUGUCAACAUCACCUGUCAUCUCAGACAGUAAAACAGAGAGCGUGGAUGCCAAGUGUCACAUGGCACAUUUGUACAUGAAGAGAGGCACCAGCACUUUGCAGUCAGAAGUGUCCACCAGUGCAGAGGAGUUGGAACAACUCUGUGGCAAGUGGGUCGCAAAAGCAGAUACUGACAUGUGAGCUUGAAAGGAUGACGUGGGAUUUUGUGCUGGCUAAACUGAAAUAUGAACCUGAAUAUGACAAAAAGCAAAGGCUUCAUGAAGAGAGACUGGCACAGAUUCAUCAAC